rnacentral:rRNA from 1 species
UACAGAGGUCUCAAGCGUUGUUCGGAUUCAUUGGGCGUAAAGGGUGCGUAGGCGGCGGGGCAAGUCUGAUGUGAAAUCCCGGGGCUCAACCCCGGAACUGCAUUGGAUACUGCCUUGCUAGAGUACUGGAGAGGAGACUGGAAUUUACGGUGUAGCAGUGAAAUGCGUAGAGAUCGUAAGGAAGACCAAUGGCGAAGGCAAGUCUCUGGACAGUUACUGACGCUGAGGCACGAAGGCCAGGGGAGCAAACGGG